rnacentral:rRNA from 1 species
UACGGAGGGGGCUAGCGUUGUUCGGAAUUACUGGGCGUAAAGCGCACGUAGGCGGCUUUGUAAGUUAGAGGUGAAAGCCCGGGGCUCAACUCCGGAAUUGCCUUUAAGACUGCAUCGCUAGAACGUCGGAGAGGUAAGUGGAAUUCCGAGUGUAGAGGUGAAAUUCGUAGAUAUUCGGAAGAACACCAGUGGCGAAGGCGACUUACUGGACGACUGUGACGCUGAGGUGCGAAAGCGUGGGGAGCGAACGAGGAAUUGAGAU